AUACGGAGGAUCCGAGCGUUAUCCGGAUUUAUUGGGUUUAAAGGGUGCGCAGGCGGCCAUUUAAGUCAGCGGUUAAAUCGUGGGGCUCAACCCCAUUCUGCCGUUGAUACUGGGUGGCUUGAUUGCGGUCGAGGUUGGCGGAAUUCGUUGUGUAGCGGUGAAAUGCAUAGAUAUGACGAAGAACACCGAUUGCGUAGGCAGCUGACCAGACCGCAAAUGACGCUCAUGCACGAAAGUGCGGGGAUCGAACAGGAUUAGAUACCCUGGUAGUCCGCACAGUAAACGAUGAAUACUUGUUUUCGGCGAUAUAAUGUCGGAGGCAAAGCGAAAGCGAUAAGUAUUCCACCUGGGGACUACGCCGGCAACGGUGAAACUCAAAUGAAUUGACGGGG
rnacentral:rRNA from 1 species